AGUGAACGCUGGCGGUAGGCCUAACACAUGCAAGUCGAACGGCAGCACAGUAAGAGCUUGCUCUUACGGGUGGCGAGUGGCGGACGGGUGAGGAAUACAUCGGAAUCUACUUUUUCGUGGGGGAUAACGUAGGGAAACUUACGCUAAUACCGCAUACGACCUACGGGUGAAAGCAGGGGAUCUUCGGACCUUGCGCGAUUGAAUGAGCCGAUGUCGGAUUAGCUAGUUGGCGGGGUAAAGGCCCACCAAGGCGGCGAUCCGUAGCUGGUCUGAGAGGAUGAUCAGCCACACUGGAACUGAGACACGGUCCAGACUCCUACGGGAGGCAGCAGUGGGGAAUAUUGGACAAUGGGCGCAAGCCUGAUCCAGCCAUACCGCGUGGGUGAAGAAGGCCUUCGGGUUGUAAAGCCCUUUUGUUGGGAAAGAAAAGCAGCAGGUUAAUACCCCGCUGUUCUGACGGUACCCAAAGAAUAAGCACCGGCUAACUUCG
rnacentral:rRNA from 1 species